AUUGAACGCUGGCGGCAGGCCUAACACAUGCAAGUCGAACGAGUGGCGGACGGGUGAGUAAUGUCUGGGAAACUGCCCGAUGGUGGGGGAUAAAUACUGGAAACGGUAGCUAAUACCGCAUACCAUCGGAUGUGCCCAGAUGGGAUUAGCUUGUAGGUGGUGUAACGGCUAACCUAGGCGACGAUCCCUAGCUGGUCUGAGAGGAUGACCAGCCACACUGGAACUAAGACACGGUCCAGACUCCUCAGGGAGGCAGCCGUGAGGAAUAUUGCACAUUGGGCGCAAGCCUGAUGCAGCCAUGCCGCGGGUAUGAAGAAGGCCUUCGGGUUAGAAAGUGCUUUCAGCGGGAAGGCGUUACCCGCAGAAGAAGCACCGUCUAACUCCGUGCCAGCAGCCGCGGUAAUAC
rnacentral:rRNA from 1 species